rnacentral:lncRNA from 1 species
CACAAAUCACACCUAUGUGGGGGUGUAACACACAUACUUCUAACUCAGCUGCUUUUAGGAGCUAUGCAACUAAAUGAGAUUGCUUUUGCAGUUAGGGAGGCGACUACUGAAACUGUAUGAAUGAAAAAAACUACUUUCUGCAUAAUGAGAUAAUUUUGGAGACAGUUGAUAAAAACCGUAAAUCCGGCCGGGCAAGGUGGCUCAUGCCUGUAAUCCAAGCACUUUGAGAGGCCGAGGCGGGUGGAUCACGAGGUCAGAAGUUCAAGACCAGCCUGGCCAACAUGGUGAAACACCGUCUCUACUUAAAAUACAAAAAUAAAUAAAAUUACCCGGGCUUGGUAGCACGCGCCUGCAAUCCUAGCUACUCCGGAGGCUGAGGCAGGAGAAUUACUUAAUCCAGGAAGUGGAGGUUGCAGUGAAGCAAGAUUGCACCACUGCACUCCAGCCUGGGCAACAGAGCAAGACUCCAUCUCAGGAAAAAAAAAAAAAAAAAAAAAAGAAAUACGUCCUUUUUAUUGUUAAGUCAUAAAGAGGUUUCAAAAUUAAAAGCAAAAACUACAGGGUAAGACUUAACAAAACUACUAGGAGUGUCAAAGGAGGUGAAAUGGGACCUAGGUGCAGGGCAAUAUGAAUUAACAUGGGAAAGACAAGGACAAUGAGCAUGUGCUGAAGAUACUAGAGAAGAAGAUCUGGUAAAAAAUUUGAUCUUAGAGAAGCACCUAGGUAAACAAAUAUUGGGAUAAGAUUUCUAACCCCCACUAUGUGCUUAAGAGUCAUUUUUGCCAUUGGCGCUGUCUCUGUCAUCCUCUCCUUCCUCAGCCUCUUUUUCAUCCUUGGUCAACUCCAGCUGGCCAUCCCCCACCUUCAUUAUCAUCAUCAUCCAGUAGAUCCCCCUCCUCAGCAGAGUCAUCUGCGCCCCCCUCAGACUUCACAUUAAUCUCAUUUUUCUUCACUGAGCUCCUGCUCUGUUCCUCUUCUCACUUACC